UCGUAGGUCAGCAUACUACGGUGAAUACGUUCCCGGGCCUUGUACACACCGCCCGUCAAACCAUGAGAGUUGGCAACACCGAAGUCGGUAGUCUAACCGCAAGGAGGACGCCGCCGAAGGUGGGGUUGAUGAUUAGGGUUAAGUCGUAACAAGGUACC
rnacentral:rRNA from 1 species